AGCGAACGCUAGCGGCGGGCCUAACACAUGCAAGUCGAGCGGAGAACUUCGGUUCUCAGCGGCGGACGGGUGAGUAACGCGUAGGUAAUGUGCCUUCUGGUGGGGAACAACCGUGCGAAAGCAUGGCUAAUACCGCAUAUGUCGAGAGAUGAAAGCCUUCGGGCGCCAGUAGAGCAGCCUGCGUCCCAUUAUUUAGUCCUAGUUGGUGAGGUAACGGCUCACCAAGGGUACGAUGGGUAGCUGGUCUGAGAGGAUGAUCAGCCACACUGGAACUGAGACACGGUCCGGACUCCUACGGGAGGCAGCAGUGGGGAAUAUUGCGCAAUGGGCGAAAGCCUGACGCAGCCACGCCGCGUGAGUGAUGAAGGCCUCGGUUGUAAGACGUCUGUCGGGAGGGAAGGAAGGACGGCAAGCCUGACGGUACCUCGCAAGAAAGACACCGGCUAACUACUGUGCCAGCAGCCGCGGUAAGUAGUACGUGU
rnacentral:rRNA from 1 species